UGGGGAAUUGUUCGCAAUGGGCGCAAGCCUGACGACGCAACGCCGCGUGGGGGAUGAAGGUCUUCGGAUUGUAAACCCCUGUUGGGUGGGACGAACACUUUCGUGGUGAAUAGCCAUGGAGGCUGACGGUACCACCUGAGGAAGCCCCGGCUAACUCUGUGCCAGCAGCCGCGGUAAUACAGAGGUGGCAAGCGUUGUUCGGAAUUACUGGGCGUAAAGGGCGCGUAGGCGGCCAUCUAAGUCAGACGUGAAAUCCCCCGGCUUAACCUGGGAACUGCGUCUGAUACUGGACGGCUUGAGUAUGGGAGAGGGAUGUAGAAUUCCAGGUGUAGCGGUGAAAUGCGUAGAUAUCUGGAGGAAUACCGGUGGCGAAGGCGGCAUCCUGGACCAUUACUGACGCUGAGGCGCGAAAGCUAGGGGAGCAAA
rnacentral:rRNA from 1 species